rnacentral:rRNA from 1 species
CCAAGGAGUCUAACAUGUGCGCGAGUCAUUGGGAUGCAUAAACCUAAAGGCGAAAUGAAAGUGAAGGUCGGCCUUAGCGUCGACCUAGGGAGGAUGGGCCGCGUUAUGAUGCGGCCUCGCACUCCCGGGGCGUUUCGUUCUCAUUGCGAGAAGAGGCGCACCUAGAGCGUACACGUUGGGACCCGAAAGAUGGUGAACUAUGCCUGGUCAGGACGAAGUCAGGGGAAACCCUGAUGGAGGUCCGUAGCGAUUCUGACGUGCAAAUCGAUCGUCGGAACUGGGUAUAGGGGCGAAAGACUAAUCGAACCAUCUAGUAGCUGGUUCCCUCCGAAGUUUCCCUCAGGAUAGCUGGCACUCGCUCGUUCCUCUGUGAACGCGUGCGAGUCUCAUCUGGUAAAGCGAAUGAUUAGAGGCCUUGGGGCCGAAACGACCUCAACCUAUUCUCAAACUUUAAAUGGGUGAGAUCUCUGGCUUGCUUGAAACGUGAAGCCACGAGAUUUUGGAUCAGAGUGCCAAGUGGGCCAAUUUU